AGAAUCAACGCUGGCGGCGUGCCUAACACAUGCAAGUCGAACGCGAAAGUCCCGCAAGGGAUGAGUAGAGUGGCAAACGGGUGAGUAACACGUGGGUGACCUGCCUUCGAGCGGGGGAUAACGUCCCGAAAGGGACGCUAAUACCGCAUGACAUCCUGCCUUUGAAGAGGUGGAGAUCAAAGCUGGGGAUCGCAAGACCUAGCACUUGAAGAGGGGCCCGCGCCUGAUUAGCUAGUUGGUGGGGUAACGGCUCACCAAGGCAACGAUCAGUA
rnacentral:rRNA from 1 species